AGUGAACGCUGGCGGUAGGCCUAACACAUGCAAGUCGAACGGCAGCACAGUAAGAGCUUGCUCUUACGGGUGGCGAGUGGCGGACGGGUGAGGAAUACAUCGGAAUCUACUUUUUCGUGGGGGAUAACGUAGGGAAACUUACGCUAAUACCGCAUACGACCUACGGGUGAAAGCAGGGGAUCUUCGGACCUUGCGCGAUUGAAUGAGCCGAUGUCGGAUUAGCUAGUUGGCGGGGUAAAGGCCCACCAAGGCGACGAUCCGUAGCUGGUCUGAGAGGAUGAUCGGCCACACUGGAACUGGGACACGGUCCAGACUCCUACGGGAGGCAGCAGUGGGGAAUAUUGGACAAUGGGCGCAAGCCUGAUCCAGCCAUACCGCGUGUGUGAAGAAGGCCUUCGGGUUGUAAAGCCCUUUUGUUGGGAAAGAAAAGCAGCAGGUUAAUACCCCGCUGUUCUGACGGUACCCAAAGAAUAAGCACCGGCUAACUUCGUG
rnacentral:rRNA from 1 species